rnacentral:rRNA from 1 species
AGCGAACGCUGGCGGCAUGCUUAACACAUGCAAGUCGCACGGCCAGCAAUUUCGGUGUCGGUCUGGUGAGUAGCGCGUGGGAACGUGUCCUGAGGUGGGUGACAACCUCGGGAAACUGGGGCUAAUACCUCAUAUAGGCUAAGCCCCUAAGCCGAACGACGCCUUUGGAGCGGCCUGCGUUCGAUUGGGUUGUUGGUGUGGUAAAGGCCUAUCAAGCCUGCGAUCGGUAGCUGGUCUGAGAGGAAGACCAGCCACACUGGGACUGAGACACGGCCCAGAAUCUUACGGGAGGCAGCAGUGGGGAAUAUAGGACAAUGGGCGAAAGGCUGAACCAGCAAGGGCGCGUGGGUGAAGAAGGUCUGAGGAUAGUAAAGCCCUUUAGAAGGGGACGAUGAUGACGGUACCCGAAGAAGAAGCCCCGGCUAACUUCGUG